AGGAUGAACGUUGGCGGCGUGCCUAACACAUCCAAGUCGAACGGUAGUCGCAAGACUACAGUGGCGCACGGGUGAGUAACACGUAAGUAACCUGCCCAGAAGUGGGGAAUAACUGGCCGAAAGGCUGGCUAAUACCGCAUGUGAUGGUCUUUCUCUGGAGAGGUCAUAAAAGGCGAAAGUCGCUUCUGGAGGGGCUUGCGGCCGAUUAGUUAGUUGGUGGGUAAUGGCCUACCAAGACCGCGAUCGGUAGCUGGUCUGAGAGGACGGACAGCCACACGGGGACUGAGAUACGGCCCCGACUCCUACGGGAGGCAGCAGCUAGGAAUCUUGGGAAUGGGCGAAAGCCUGACGCAGCAACGGCCGACGUGGGGGAUGAAGGCCGUUCGGGUUGUAAACCCCUUUAGGGAGGGACGAAUUGGACGGUACCUCAGAAUAACGCCCCGGCCAACUACGU
rnacentral:rRNA from 1 species